GGUGGAGUUAUGAUAGGUCUCUUGGCAGUUUCCGGCAACACAACUCCAACGAAGGUAUGGAAACACGGCAAGUUAUAUGGACGACAAUACAUCGGUGGCGGCCCGUGGCCUGGCAAUGUAGGCGCUGCACAUUGGAGGAUACUUCAAAAGGGGAGCUUCUCAAGCAUUACCAAGUCAAGCACAGUAUUUAUGGAUGUGGCUGAGCUGAACCAAAACCAACUAAUCACCAAUUAAAGAAGAGCGACAGCCCAGUCAUUAAGGACUUGAUGUGGAGAACUUUUGCACAUAGAGGAACAUACAACAUACACAUGAGCAUCAGUGACAUGAAGCACAGGUGGCCUACCUUGUUUAAUGUCUCACAGGAGAGGAAGGUGCCAGAAUGGAGGCGAAAGGACACCAAAACUGUUAUCCUUGUUUGCAGCGAAGAAAAAUGUUGUCAGAGCAAGAAUUCAAGCACAGACGAACAAUCUAUUUCAGGAUGCCGGGGAUGGAUCAACCAGCAUUCAAGAAAAGAUGGCAUAGUGAUUGAGGGCAGCACCGUCCACAGCAAUCUUGGGGAUCUUAGCCAAGCCCGCUACUAUCUGAUGGGACUGACGUAUGCCAAGACCUGCGAUUCCCCGAGACCCUGUCAUCCAGUUUUAUGGUGUUCCAGUUAGUACUGCUGGAUCUGGAUUUAUGGAAACCUUUCAAAGACUUUGCCAACGAAAUGUUGUUGCCUGGCUCCCGUAAAGUGAAUGGUUGUCUAUAUGUGCCCUGUGAUUGGCUGGCCACCAUUCCAGGGUGUACCCCGCCGCUCGCCCGUAGACAGCUGGGAUAGGCUCCAGCACCCGUAAGGACAAAGCAGGAGAAAAUGAAUGGAUGUUGUUGGCGGCUUUCUGAGUGAUUUUUGGUUGGUGAAGUUUACCUGUCCUAAGUAUAGAAGUUUCAUGUGUUAAUGUUUAUUCAAGUGUCUUAAGGUCAUGAAAAUG